UACGUAGGCAGCAAGCGUUGUUCGGAAUUACUGGGCGUAAAGAGUGUGUAGGUGGUGAACUAAAGUCUGUCGUGAAAUCUCCCGGCUUAACUGGGAGGGUGCGGCGGAAACUGGCUCGCUAGAGGUAUGGGAGAGGUAAGCGGAAGUUCCUGGUGUAGCGGUGAAAUGCGUAGAUAGUCAGGAGGAACACCGGUGGCGAAGGCGGAUCUCUGGGCCGAUUACUGACGCUGGAGGAAGCGAAAGGCGUGGGGAGCGAACAGG
rnacentral:rRNA from 1 species